CCGACGGUGAGGGGUGAAGGCUGGGGGCGCAAACCGGAUUAGAUACCCGGGUAGUCCCAGCAGUAAACGAUGCCAGCUAUGUGUUGCUGGAACCAUGGGUUCCAGCAGUGCCGAAGGGAAGCCGUGAAGCUGGCCACCUGGGAAGUACGGUCGCAAGGCUGAAACUUAAAGGAAUUGGCGGGGGAGUACCACAACCGGUGGAGCCUGCGGUUUAAUUGGAUACAACGCCGGGAAUCUUACCGGAGGGGACAGCAGUAUGAAGGCCAGGCUAAAGACCUUGCCAGAUCAGCUGAGAGGAGGUGCAUGGCCGUCGCCAGUUCGUACCGUGAGGCAUCCUGUUUAGUCAGGCAACGAUCGAGACCCGCAGUCUUAUUUGCCAGCAUGCCCUUUGGGGUGUAUGGGUACAAUAAGACGACCGCCAGCGCUAAGCUGGAGGAAGGAGCGGGCUACGGUAGGUCAGCAUGCCCCGAAUCCUCCGGGAUACACGCGGGCUACAAUGGUCAGGACAAAAGGUACCGACCUCGAAAGAGUGAGGUAAUCCACAAACCUGAUCUCAGUCCGGAUCGAAGGCUGCAACUCGCCUUCGUGAAGAUGGAAUCGGUAGUAAUCGUGACUCAAAAUGUCACGGUGAAUAUGUCCCUGCUCCUUGCACACAC
rnacentral:rRNA from 1 species